AAUUUGAAGACAGGUUUAGGCUUUCUUGAGGUUGUUUGCUUGCAUUUCUCCCUCCACUAGAAUGGUCACCAGAAGAAGGAUUCCAAGCUGGAAAUAUCUUCAUUAUUAGGUAAUCAAUAAUUUCUUAUGUCUUAGUUCCUAUUUGUCUUAUUUCGUGUCGCCAGUAUUUUCUCAUAUUUCGUAUUUCUACGAUUACUAUUUUUACAACCCAGUUAUUUACUAUUCUUUAUCUUGAGCUGAGGUCUGUCGGAAACAACCUCUCUACUUCUUCGGAGGUAGCAGUAUGGACUGCGUACAUCGUACCCUCCCCAGACCCCACUUUGUGGUAAUACACUGGGUUUGUUGUUGUUGUUAUAUUAGGUAAUCAAUAAAGUCAGCAAUAAAAGCUACAUCAUGAUCAGCUAGCUGCAAUUGUUCAACCAUCUCAGCCGCAACUAAAGGUGCACUGUCAGUAUCAAGAUAAAAAAUGAAGUGUAUAUGGCUUACACUACCUGCAAUAACCAAAUGCGUGGAAUAAGAAAGAGGAUAUCUGAUUCCACAAUGCUCAUAAAUAAAAAAAAAAAAAAUAAUAGGAAACAAAUUGAUAUUCAUAUACUGACCAGCGGGAUCUCUGAUUCGCAAGGUCAACAAAAUUGAGUUAACAUCAUUCUUCAUCCCCAUUAAUUUAAAUUCAUUAUUGUGAUGGUACCUCUGAAAUUCCAAACCUCGAAAACUAGGACUUCCACAACUGGAAUGAGUAUUUAUAGAUUGGUUAGAUUCUAAAUCCACAUCCAUGGAAUGAGGUAAAGGUUUCAACAAACUCAAGGAUCUAGGACAUUGCUUAGGUAACUGAAUUUGAUUAUCGACUGACUCCAACUUUUCAUAUUGAAGAUACGGGUCUUUCAGGAGGUCCCUGGCUGACAACCUCUCAGAUGCUGCAACCAAGCAUUUUUCAAUGAAUGUUUUGACUUCAGAAUCCAUAACUUUACUGAGGGAAGCAGGUUUAAUG
rnacentral:lncRNA from 1 species